GACGAACGCUGGCGGCGUGCUUAACACAUGCAAGUCGAACGAUGAAGCACCAGCUUGCUGGUGUGGAUUAGUGGCGAACGGGUGAGUAACACGUGAGUAACCUGCCCCUCACUCUGGGAUAAGCCUGGGAAACUGGGUCUAAUACUGGAUACGACCGAUCUCCGCAUGGAGUGUUGGUGGAAAGUUUUUGUGGUGGGGGAUGGACUCGCGGCCUAUCAGCUUGUUGGUGGGGUAGUGGCCUACCAAGGCGACGACGGGUAGCCGGCCUGAGAGGGCGACCGGCCACACUGGGACUGAGACACGGCCCAGACUCCUACGGGAGGCAGCAGUGGGGAAUAUUGCACAAUGGGCGAAAGCCUGAUGCAGCGACGCCGCGUGAGGUAUGACGGCCUUCGGGUUGUAAACCUCUUUCACCAGGGACGAAGCUAACGUGACGGUACCUGGAGAAGAAGCACCGGCUAACUACGUG
rnacentral:rRNA from 1 species